UUACACUGCUUUAUCUGCAGGGGAUUUCGGGAACAUGUUCAUGUGAUAUGUGUUAGUGUUGGGUGUAAGCGAUGUGAGUGGUGUAGCUUAGGGUAGUGUGUCUGAUGGCUCAAAUCUUUGCUUACAGAUAUGCUGGUCAAUGCAGGUACUUUAACCAUACAAAUUUUGUCAAGAUAUUCAUGCUAAAUAGUUGCUUUUGUCAGUAAUACUCUCAAAAGCCCUGCCUUCUGCAGGAAAAAUGUGAAGGAUGCAGCUCAGAAUCAGAGCAGUUGUGCUAAAGGGAAUAUAAAUUUGUUUUACAGUUCUGCCAUUCAACCAGGAUUUCCUCGCAAAUUCAUUGUGUAUGAGCAAAACCUCCUGGCCCUUACGAAGUUUUGCAGGAAAUUCCACCUUCCUGCAAAGUCAUCAGUACAGGUUUUUGGCUCUCUUGCCGUUGUUACAUCAACCUGCCAGGAUGGCCACACUUUGCAUUGGCACAGUCAGCAAAAGAAGAAGCGGUUUGCCACGGGCAAUGUCAUUCUUGCUGCCUCAAUCUUGUUUACCGGGUCAAGUCCCACACAAGUGCUGCGGGUGCUCCAGAGUGCCGAUAUUGCUUGCUUCACCAAGCGAACGUAUGACUGCCUACAGAGGGAUCUGUUGAUCCUAGCUGCGCACAAGGUGAGCAUGAUUAGCAGUGUGCUUGUGCCCACUAGAAAAAAAGCUUUAGUAUCAACAAGGCCACGAAGCUAAUC